rnacentral:rRNA from 1 species
AUGAACGCUGGCGGCGUGCCUAAUACAUGCAAGUCGAGCGAACGGACGAGAAGCUUGCUUCUCUGAUGUUAGCGGCGGACGGGUGAGUAACACGUGGAUAACCUACCUAUAAGACUGGGAUAACUUCGGGAAACCGGAGCUAAUACCGGAUAAUAUUUUGAACCGCAUGGUUCAAAAGUGAAAGACGGUCUUGCUGUCACUUAUAGAUGGAUCCGCGCUGCAUUAGCUAGUUGGUAAGGUAACGGCUUACCAAGGCAACGAUGCAUAGCCAACCUGAGAGGGUGAUCGGCCACACUGGAACUGAGACACGGUCCAGACUCCUACGGGAGGCAGCAGUAGGGAAUCUUCCGCAAUGGGCGAAAGCCUGACGGAGCAACGCCGCGUGAGUGAUGAAGGUCUUCGGAUCGUAAAACUCUGUUAUUAGGGAAGAACAUAUGUGUAAGUAACUGUGCACAUCUUGACGGUACCUAAUCAGAAAGCCACGGCUAGCUACGUG